GCUUCACUGUUCCCCGGGUGCCGAAGAUGUGGAUGUUGAUGAAGGCAGCCCCCCGCACCUCUCUGAUUCAGAGGGGUUGGGUUAAAUGCGGAAGACACAUUUCAUUUGAAUACAUUCAGUUGGACAACUGACUAGGUAUCUCCCUUUCCCUUUCCCUUUCCCUUUCAGAAAGACCAGAGUGAACACUUUGUCUGAGAUUGCUGGUGUUGUGAAGGACAGCACUGUGACAGGGAUCAACAUCCCACAGCUGGUUGGACUGGAGGAUGAUACGGUGCUGGUGGAAAGCAAUGGCUGGCAACAUCACCUGAUUCCCUUCGAUGCUCUGGAGCGUGGUGUUGUCGCCAAGGAGAAUUCGGACUCAGUCAGAACCAGGUUUCAGCUGCUGCGCAACGCUGACAUCCUUCCUCCCAUAGACAAGCACCAACUGGACAGCUAGAAACGUAUAUUUUUGAAAGGAUCAGGGAGUUUUGCGAUAGCGAGGCUAUGGACAUCACAUGCCCUGCACCAAAGUCAUGAGCAGGGCAGAAACAGGCUCUCUGAUUAUACAUUCCCUUGUUCAUCCAUGGUUUGGAUCGAUCAGUUUAUCGCUGGGGGCGAGAUCCCAGUCAUCAGCACUAUCUACAGUGCCUCUAUUCAAAUGACUCUCUCCUAACACACCAUACGUUGCUUCUACUAUUUAUUUAUUUGUCCUAAUGCUCAACCACUUUCCCCUGAUUGUGUGCAUAUAUCUACAGUUGAAGUCAGAAGUUUACAUACACUUAGGUUGCAGUCAUUAAAACUUGUUUUUCAAUGACUCCACAAAUGUAUUGUUAACAAACGAUAGUUUUGGCAAGUUGGUUAGGACAUCUACUUUGUGCAUGACACAAGUAAUCUUUCCAACAAUUGUUCACAGACAGAUUAUUUCACUUAUAAUUCACUGUAUCACAAUUCCAGGGGGUCAGAAGUUGACUGUGCCUUUAAACAGCUUGGAAAAUUCCAGGGAAAAAAUGAUAUCAUGGCGUCAGAAGCUUCUGACAUCAUUCGAGUCAUUGGAGGUGUACCUGUGGAUUUCAAGGCCUACCUUCAAACUCAGUGCCUCUUUGCUUGACAUCAUGGGAAAAUCCAAAGAAAUCAGCCAAGUCAUCAGAAAAAAAUUGUAGACCUCCACUAGUCUGGUUCACCCUUGGGAGCAAUUUCCAAACACCUGAAGGUACCACGUUCAUCUGUACAAACAAUAGUACGCAAGUACAAACACCAUGGGACCACCCAGCCGUUAUACCGCUCAGGUCUGUCUCCUAGAGAUGAACAUACUUUGGUGCGAAAAGUGCAAAUCAAUCCCAGAACAACAGCAACGGACCUUGUGAAGAUGCUGGAGGAAACAGGUACAAAGUAUCUAUAUCCACAUUAAAACGAGUCCUAUAUCGACAUAACCUGAAAAGCCACUCAGCAAGGAAGAAGCCACUACUCCAAAACGGCCAUAAAAAAGCCAGACUCCGGUUUGCAACUGCACAUGGGGACAAAAAUUGUACUUUUUGGAGAAAUGUCCUCUGGUCUGAUGAAAUAAAAAAUAUAACUUUUUGGCCAUAAUGACCAUCAUUAUGUUUGGAGGAAAGAAGGGGGAGGCUUGCAAGCCAAAGAACACCAUCCCAACCAUGAAGCACGGGGGUGGCAGCAUCAUGUCGUGGGGGUGCUUUGCUGCAGGAGGGACUGGUGCCCUUCACAAAACAGAUGACAUUAUGAGGUAGGAAAAAUAUGUGGAUAUAUUGAAGCAACAUCUCAAGACAUCUCAAGCUUGGUCGCAACUGGGUCAUCCAAAUGGACAAUGACCCCAAGUAUAUUCCAAAGUUGUGGCAAAAUGGCUUAAGGAGAACAAAGUCAAGGUAUUGUAGUGGCCAUCACAAAGCCCUGACCUCAAUCCUAUAGAAAAUGUGUGGGCAGAGCUGAAAAAGCUUGUGCGAGCAAGGAGGCCUACAAGGAGGAGGAGGCCUACUAUACCAGCUCUGUCAGGAGGAAUGGGCCAAAAUUCACCCAACUUUUUGUGGGAAGCUUGUGGAAGACUACCUGAAACGUUAAGUUAAACAAUUUAAAGGCAAUAUCAAAUACUAAUUGUCUGCAGCUCUGUAAUGUAACAUUUUUAUUUAGAGACUGUAAUAUGAUCACACAUCUGCAAAUCAGAAGGUUGCCUUUUUCAGUUGUUGCCUCAGAGGGCUUAGUCUUCCUUACAGCUUUUUUUUCUGAAAACUUCUGAACCACUGGGAAUGUGAUGAAAGAAAUCAAAUCUGAAAUAAAUCAUUCUCUCUACUAUUAUUCUGGCAUUUCACAUUCUUAAAAUAAAGUGGUGAUCUUCAUUGGCCUAAGACAGGGAAUUUUUACUAAGAUUAAAUUGUGAAAAACUGAGUUUAAAUGUAUUUUGCUAAGGUGUACGUAUAUCAAUUUCCGACUUCAACUGUACCUCAUCUAUCACCAGUAUCACUGAUAUCGUUAUUGACAUUGUUCUUGUACAUACUGUAUAUUAUUUUGUUCUUUCUCUACUGACAUUGACACUUGUUCUUUUUUUCUUUAUAUUAACACUCUAUUUCUGAUAUUGCUACUAUGUAAGUAACAAUUUCACUGUACUGUUUACACCUUCUGUAGGGACCCAACCACUUAGCAAGAUGUGGCUGGGGUCUAUAGCAUUUCUUUCACAUGACCCAUCAAUUUAGACAAGUGUGUCUGGGUAAGCGUCAUCUAAUAUUUAUAAAAUAUUUUUAUCUGGACACUUUCUGAUUGCCUGGAAUUUGUCCUUGUUGUAGGCUACUACUUUUACCACUUUUAGUCUUAAUCUUUACUACACUACUCAAUGUUUAGCAGAUGACCUCACAUGUGAAUCCUUAAAGAGAUGGGUGGGCUGGCUUAAGAGUGUGUGAACGAUGCUGAAUGGGUGUAAACAAAGAAGAGCUCUCCAGUCUGUGUACCAAAACAUUCAAGGGCCAUUUUCACAAAAGUGGGGUUAAAAGUUGAUCAACUUUCAAAGUGGAAUUACUUUCCCAAUUGUUCCUCAAAUGCAGUGUAUGAUAUACCAUUUUGUAGAUCUCUGUCUCUGCUUUUAUCCAACAUUUAAAACCCCCCCAGGGACAUCAUCUGGAAAAUGGCCAAGGAGAACAAGUUUCUGUAUGAGAAGAAGCUCCGCAUCAAAGAGGCUCUGAUACCGCAGGAUCUGACUGCCAGGAAGAAACUGUGGCCACUUAUACAGAAAGCACGACAAGAGGGAAAGAAGGCUGAGUUCAAGGGCCCACACGCGUUUAUUGAAGGAAGAAAGAUUCCUGGUUAACUUUGAUGACAUGAACCACAUUUUAACUGAGCUUGUUUUCAACUCACUCAAUAUCGUUAGCCUGAAUGCUCAGGGUUUGAGAGAUCUUACAAAAAGGAAAGAGCAAAAUGGAUUGAAGAGGGGGAAAGAAACACCAGUUAUUUUUUUUGCACUUGAAAAGAGGAACUACAAAAGAAAAUCUCUAACGGCACUCAAAAUGAAUGAUGUAUUAUGCAAAGAUUAUAAUAUAAACAUUUGUCAAUUCCUUUUAUGAAAACCUUUACAUCUCACAAUUUCAGGAAGAUGGUUGUGAAAGCUACAUUUGUAUGAGGAUGAUUUACACUCAGUUUGCAAUUCAUCUGUGUCAAUCGAAGAAAUUAGAGAGGCUCUGAGUUCAAUGAAAAAAGGGAAAUCACCUGGCCCUGAUGGUCUGUCAAUUGAAUUCUAUAUGCAGUUUUGGGAAUUACUAGAAUACCCUAUUUUUAAUGUUUCAAGAUUGCAUUGAAAAUGGUGAAAUGGUCUCCACUAUGAAACUGUGCCUUAUUUCACUGAUUCCAAAGCCUGAUAAAGACCCUUCUCUCACUGACAAUGGGAGACCAAUUACUUUAUUAAAUAUUGAUUACAAAUUGAUUGCUCUGGUUUAUGCCAAAAUAUUAAAUAAAGGAAAAGAUACUAUUUAUAAAUGAGACUCAAACAGGAUUUAUGAAGGGCCGUCACAUAAGCUCCAACAUUCGUUUAGUCGUCGACCUUUUAGAUUAUUAUGUAAUUGAUUCAGAUGCUGUUGUUUUAUUUUUGGACUUCUGUAAAACCUUUGACACAAUUGAACAUUAAUUUCUCUUUCGGUCUCUUAAACUGUUUGGUUUCGGUGAAAAUGGUUAUCAAAGUCAUUGUCACACCGUGAUCUGUUUCACCUGUCUGUGUGAUUGUCUCCACCCACCUCCAGGUGUCUCCUGUUUUCCCCAUUAGUCCCCAGUGUAUUUAUCCCUGUGGUUCAGGUCUCUCUGUGUCAGUUCGUCUUGUUUUGCCAAGUCAACCAGCGUUUCUCCUAGCUCCUAUUUUUUUCCCCAGUCUCUAUUUUUUCCUAGCCCUCCUGGUUUUGACCCUUGCCUGUCCUGAUGCCGUAUCCACCUGCCUGACCACUCUGCCUGUUCUGACCUCGAGCCUGCCUAUCCCCUUGUACUGUUUGGACUCUGACCUGGUUUAUGAACUCUCGCCUGUCCCCGACCUGCCUUUUGCCUACACCUUUUGGUAUGAUAAAUAUCGGAGCUCAACCAUCUGCCUCCUGUGUCUGUAUUUGGGUCUCGCCUUGUGCCCUUAUACGCAUGUUUUACAAAUAAAUAAGUAUUUCUGUAACACAUCCAAAAGAUUCAGAAUCAACAGAAGUGUAUGACAGGGAUGCCCAAUUUUGCACUUUUUAUUCAUCUUGGUAGUGAUAUCUCUAGAUAUUCUGAAUAAUGCAAAUCUGCAUGGCUUAUCCAGUUUUAACAGAGAAAUCCAAAUUACCCAACGCUGACGAUAUUACUUUUUUUUUUAAAGACAAAUACCAGGUUGCCCAUGCCCUUAAUGCUAGCACUGCAUUCUAUUGCAUCUGGGUUAAAUCUGAAUCUUUCUAAAUGUGAAAUCUUAUGUUUAUAUGACUCUGA